GACGAACGCGGCGGCGUGCUUAACACAUGCAAGUCGAACGAAGAGCGAUGGAAGCUUGCUUCCAUCAAUCUUAGUGGCGAACGGGUGAGUAACGCGUAAUCAACCUGCCCUUCAGAGGGGGACAACAGUUGGAAACGACUGCUAAUACCGCAUACGAUCUAACCUUGGCAUCGAGGAUGGAUGAAAGGUGGCCUCUAUUUAUAAGCUAUCACUGAAGGAGGGGAUUGCGUCUGAUUAGCUAGUUGGAGGGGUAACGGCCCACCAAGGCGAUGAUCAGUAGCCGGUCUGAGAGGAUGAACGGCCACAUUGGGACUGAGACACGGCCAGACUCCUACGGGAGGCAGCAGUGGGGAAUCUUCCGCAAUGGACGAAAGUCUGACGGAGCAACGCCGCGUGAGUGAUGACGGCCUUCGGGUUGUAAAGCUCUG
rnacentral:rRNA from 1 species